GACGAACGCUGGCGGCGUGCUUAACACAUGCAAGUCGAACGCUGAAGCUCAGCUUGCUGGGUGGAUGAGUGGCGAACGGGUGAGUAACACGUGAGUAACCUGCCCUCUUCUUUGGGAUAACGCCCGGAAACGGGUGCUAAUACUGGAUAUUCACUGAUUCUCGCAUGGGGGUUGGUGGAAAGGUUUUUUCUGGUGGGGGAUGGGCUCGCGGCCUAUCAGCUUGUUGGUGGGGUGAUGGCCUACCAAGGCUUUGACGGGUAGCCGGCCUGAGAGGGUGACCGGUCACAUUGGGACUGAGAUACGGCCCAGACUCCUACGGGAGGCAGCAGUGGGGAAUAUUGCACAAUGGGCGAAAGCCUGAUGCAGCGACGCCGCGUGAGGGAUGGAGGCCUUCGGGUUGUAAACCUCUUUCGCUCAUGGUCAAGCCGCAGCUUUGGGUUGUGGUGAGGGUUGUGGGUAAAGAAGCGCCGGCUAACUACGUG
rnacentral:rRNA from 1 species